CAGGUGCUGCAUGGCUGUCGUCAGCUCGUGUCGUGAGAUGUUGGGUUAAGUCCCGCAACGAGCGCAACCCUUGCCUUUAGUUGCCAGCAGUUCGGCUGGGCACUCUAAAGGGACUGCCGGGUGUUAAACCGGAGGAAGGUGGGGAAUGACGUCAAGUCCUCAUGGCCUUUAUGACCAGGGCUACACACGUACUACAAUGGCCGAUACAAAGGGCAGCGACACUGCGAGGUGAAGCCAAUCCCGUAAAAUCGGUCUCAGUCCGGAUUGGAGUCUGCAACUCGACUCCAUGAAGUUGGAAUCGCUAGUAAUCGUGGAUCAGCAUGCCACGGUGAAUACGUUCCCGGGCCUU
rnacentral:rRNA from 1 species